UCGGUAAUGAUCCUUUCGUAGGUGAACCUGCGGAGGGAUCAUUACCGAGUUUACAACUCCCAAACCCCUGUGAACAUACCUUAUGUUGCCUCGGCGGAUCAGCCCGCGCCCCGUAAAAAGGGACGGCCCGCCGCARGAACCCUAAACUCUGUUUUUAGUGGAACUUCUGAGUAUAAAAAACAAAUAAAUCAAAACUUUCAACAACGGAUCUCUUGGUUCUGGCAUCGAUGAAGAACGCAGCAAAAUGCGAUAAGUAAUGUGAAUUGCAGAAUUCAGUGAAUCAUCGAAUCUUUGAACGCACAUUGCGCCCGCCAGUAUUCUGGCGGGCAUGCCUGUUCGAGCGUCAUUUCAACCCUCAAGCCCAGCUUGGUGUUGGGAGCUGCAGUCCUGCUGCACUCCCCAAAUACAUUGGCGGUCACGUCGAGCUUCCAUAGCGUAGUAAUUUACACAUCGUUACUGGUAAUCGUCGCGGCCACGCCGUUAAACCCCAACUUCUGAAUGUUGACCUCGGAUCAGGUAGGAAUACCCGCUGAACUUAAGCAUAUCAAUAAGCGGAGGAGGGGGAUCAUUACGA
rnacentral:rRNA from 1 species